GUGUCAGCAGCCGCGGUAAUACGUAGGUGGCAAGCGUUAUCCGGAAUUAUUGGGCGUAAAGCGCGCGUAGGCGGUAAAAUAAGUCUGAUGUGAAAGCCCCCGGCUCAACCGGGGAGGGUCAUUGGAAACUGUUUUACUUGAGUACAGAAGAGGAGAAUGGAAUUCCAUGUGUAGCGGUGAAAUGCGCGGAGAUAUGGAGGAACACCAGUGGCGAAGGCGGCUCUCUGGUCUGUAACUGACGCUGAGGUGCGAAAGCGUGGGGAUCAAACAGGAUUAGAUACCCUGGUAGUCCACGCCGUAAACGAUGAGUGCUAAGUGUUGGGGGGUUUCCGCCCCUCAGUGCUGCAGCUAACGCAUUAAGCACUCCGCCUGGGGAGUGCGGCCGCGAAGCUGAA
rnacentral:rRNA from 1 species